GUGGGGAAUCUUAGACAAUGGGGGAAACCCUGAUCUAGCCAUGCCGCGUGAGCGAUGAAGGCCUUAGGGUUGUAAAGCUCUUUCAGCUGGGAAGAUAAUGACGGUACCAGCAGAAGAAGCCCCGGCUAACUCCGUGCCAGCAGCCGCGGUAAUACGGAGGGGGCUAGCGUUGUUCGGAAUUACUGGGCGUAAAGCGCGCGUAGGCGGACCAGAAAGUUGGAGGUGAAAUCCCAGGGCUCAACCUUGGAACUGCCUUCAAAACUCCUGGUCUGGAGUUCGAGAGAGGUGAGUGGAAUUCCGAGUGUAGAGGUGAAAUUCGUAGAUAUUCGGAGGAACACCAGUGGCGAAGGCGGCCUGCUGGACAUUAACUGACGCUGAUGAGCGAAAGCGUGGGGAGCAAACAGGAUUAGAUACCCGAGUAGUCC
rnacentral:rRNA from 1 species